GACGAACCGUGCGAACGUUGUUCGGAAUCACUGGGCUUAAAGGGCGCGUAGGCGGCUGGGUAAGUCUCGGGUGAAAUCUUUCGGCUCAACCGGAAACGUGCCUGGGAUACUGCUCAGCUCGAGGGAGGUAGGGGCGGACGGAACUUCCGGUGGAGCGGUGAAAUGCGUUGAUAUCGGAAGGAACGCCGGUGGCGAAAGCGGUCCGCUGGACCUCUACUGACGCUGAGGCGCGAAAGCCAGGGGAGCAAACGGG
rnacentral:rRNA from 1 species